GACAGAGGGUGCAAACGUUGUUCGGAAUUACUGGGCGUAAAGGGCUCGUAGGCGGCCAACUAAGUCAGACGUGAAAUCCCUCGGCUUAACCGGGGAACUGCGUCUGAUACUGGAUGGCUUGAGUUUGGGAGAGGGAUGCGGAAUUCCAGGUGUAGCGGUGAAAUGCGUAGAUAUCAGGAGGAACACCGGUGGCGAAGGCGGGUCUCUGGGCAACAACUGACGCUGAGGAGCGAAAGCGUGGGGAGCGAACAGG
rnacentral:rRNA from 1 species